GUGUAAGAUGAGAUAACUAUGACAUUUCGACAAUAUGCAGUCGUAAUCCGAUUAUAUCAUCGUGUCUGUUUAUGUGCAAUAUUAAAGAACCUGGUAAAACUGUCCAGGUUCUUUUUUGA
rnacentral:sRNA from 1 species